rnacentral:rRNA from 1 species
UAGGGAAUCAUCCGCAAUGGGCGAAAGCCUGACGGUGCAACGCCGCGUGAACGAUGAAGGUCUUCGGAUUGUAAAGUUCUGUUGUUAGGGAAGAACAAGUGCCGUUCGAAUAGGGCGGCACCUUGACGGUACCUAACCAGAAAGCCCCGGCUAACUACGUGCCAGCAGCCGCGGUAAUACGUAGGGGGCAAGCGUUGUCCGGAAUUAUUGGGCGUAAAGCGCGCGCAGGCGGUCUCUUAAGUCUGAUGUGAAAGCCCACGGCUCAACCGUGGAGGGUCAUUGGAAACUGGGGGACUUGAGUGUAGGAGAGGAAAGUGGAAUUCCACGUGUAGCGGUGAAAUGCGUAGAUAUGUGGAGGAACACCAGUGGCGAAGGCGACUUUCUGGCCUACAACUGACGCUGAGGCGCGAAAGCGUGGGGAGCAAACAGGAUUAGAUACCCCCGUAGUCC